GAAGAACCAUGCUCUUUGGGAUCAAGAUCUGGGAGUCUGAAGAUUAAUGAAUCAGUCAAAAAAAGGGGGGGGGGGGGGACAAAAAGGAAAGGAUGAGAGAAAGGGGUAAAUCAGAGGAAUUAAAAACAGCACCAAGAUGGUCAACUAGACAGGGAUUGCAAGUACCUGUGAUAACUCAGACCUGAGCCUUUGUUUAGAAGUUACUGAAAAUAGCAGUUUGGAAUGUGUACUCCAUCCUGUAUGUGUGCUAGAGGCAAAUGGUCUUCAGAUUUUGAAGGGUCUUUAGAUUUUAUAUCCAUGUUUGGAUUUAGUAGGGAUCCAAGAAACAAGAUUAUGUUCUAGGAAAGAUGUUUUGGUUGCUCAGAGGACUUGGAGGAGGGGUCCAUCCUUCUGGUCCACUGGGCCUGCUACUUAUGAUGGAGUAAUGGUAUUCUUAACUAGUGGAGGAAAGGAAGCUGUACGGUUCAUGGAUAUCUGAGUUUAGCAAGGAAGAUGGAGGAAGUCACUGGAGCUUCUUCACCUUACCCAAGUUGGCUACAUUGAUAAGAAACACGCAAUAUGAUUUAUUGCCUUAUCCUUAUUGGGUCUCCGAUACAAGAUGCAGACUGCACUGAUCAAGCCAACCGACCCUCAAAGCCGGAGUUACCCUCCCCAACAGGCAGCAUCCCAGCUCCAGGCAAGGGACAACGCCAGCAGCAUCUCGGUUCCAUUUCUUGAAAAGCGUCCGGACUCAGCUAUCCAAGCAAGGGAAAUGGAUUUCCCCUUUUUCGCCAAAUCCAAACUCCCUCCGAGCCCGUUCCCGCUCUUCCCUGCCCCUCCUUUCCCUUUAGCAGCACCCUGCGCAGCCCUCUCCAUGGCACCCCCUGUUCAGAGCUGAGCCAGUUAUCAGUUACCUCCGCACACAGGAUAAUCACACACACCCCAGCAUCCCCCCACCUCCAAGCCGUUGCCCUGGGACUAAUGCUCAUUGCUGGUCGCGUUAGAGAACCGCCGCCGCCGCCAGUGCAGUACACCACCGAGAGGACGUGGAGGAAGCGGCUUGGUUACACCAGCCUUUUCCCUGGUUUCAUCCUCACAUAGCAAAACCUUACAAUGAUGGUCUGUGAAAACCCACCAUCCUGGCUUACAGCACUUUCGUCCCUUCCAGGCAAAGAAAUCAGAUGCACGGUGUCCCCCUUCCCACACAUCAAUUCUCCAUUCCAGCCAAAAGCCUUACUCUGCCCUACUGCAUGGAUAUAAAUCCGGGAGGAGGAGCCCCCUCUCCGCCCCCCCCCGCCCCCCGGCUGGUCAGUCUGUAACAUACACGUUUAACAUGUUCUCUGUGUGUUUCUAUCAGGCAUGGCGCGCGCGCGCAUUUUGUGCAAUGCUUCUUUUAAUCGCAAAUCCCCUGAACCCCUGUUUCACGCUCCAG